UCAAGAAUAUUCCUCAAUGGACGAAAGUCUGAAGGAGCGACGCCGCGUGCAGGAUGAAGGCCUUUGGGUCGUAAACUGCUUUUGUUAGGGAAGAAUUUUGACGGUACCUAGCGAAUAAGGGGCUGCUAAACUCGUGCCAGCAGCAGCGGUAAUACGAGUGCCCCGAGCGUUAUCCGGAUUUAUUGGGCGUAAAGCGCGCGCAGACGGUUUGGCGCAUCUUCUGUUAAAUCAUCUCGCUUAACGAGGUGGCCGCGGAAGAGAUGACUAAACUAGAGGCUGGAAGAGGCAAGUGGAAUUGCUGGUGUAGGGGUUAAAUCCGUUAAUAUCAGCAGGAACACCAAAAGCGAAAGCAGCUUGCUGGAACAGUUCUGACGUUGAGGCGCGAAAGCGUGGGUAGCGA
rnacentral:rRNA from 1 species